ensembl:snRNA U4 U4 spliceosomal RNA
AACUUUGUGCAGUGGCAGUAUCAUAGCCAGUGAGGUUUAUCCAAAGCGUGAUUAUUGCUAAUUGAAAUAAAAUGGUUCC